GUCCACGCCCUAAACGAUGGCGACUAGUUGUUGGGGAUUAACAUCCUUAGUAACGCAGCUAACGCGUGAAGUCGCCCGCCUGGGGGAGUACGGUCGCAAGAUUAAAACUCAAAGGAAUUGACGGGGGCCCGCACAAGCGGUGGAUGAUGUGGUUUAAUUCGAUGCAACGCGAAAACCUUACCUGCCCUUGACAUGUCCGGAAUUCCGCAGAGAUGUGGAAGUGCCCGAAAGGGAGCCGGAACACAGGUGCUGCAUGGCUGUCGU
rnacentral:rRNA from 1 species